UUGUAUUGCCUCCAUUGGACUCCUUUAUAUAUAUAUAUAUAAUAUCCACCCAUUUGACCCAUAGGUUAUCUGCUUUUUGAGCAAUGUUCCAUACAUACUUAGCAAUGGCAGCCUCAUUCCAUACUACACAGUCCCUUACCCCUAAUCCUCGUUUUUGUUUAGGUCUGCGAACUACAUCCCAAGCCUCCAAUGGUACUUUAUUAGAAUGUUCUUUCCCAUCCCAUAUAUAAUUCCCACAUAGUGUUGUUAUUUUUUUCAACACCAUUUUAGGAAGAAGAAAAAUUGUAGACCAAUAAGCAUGUAUGUGCAGUAACACUGAAUUCACCAGCUGCACCCUCCCAGCAUAUCACAGACUCCAUGACUCCAUGUCUUGAUUAUGCUUGUCAUUUUAUGUGUGAGUACCUCACAAUCCAUAGCAGAUAGCUUUUUUGCUGCAACUGGUACCCCCAGAUACUUAAAAGGUAAUGUUCCUUUCUUGUAUCCAGUAAUCUCACAUAUAUAUUCCAGCUCUUGCUUUGCCAUAUUUGCACUGAAUACAUUUGAUUUGCUUGCAUUUGUUGUCAGUCCUGAGGCCUAUGAAAAAGUUUGUAGUCCCCUGAGCAUCAACAUUUCCGACUGAUAAUUCCCUUUGCAGAACAUCAGUAAGUCAUCUGCAAAACAUAAAUGGUUUAGCUUUAUCCUUUUGCAUUUUGUAUGUAAUCCGAACUCCUUCAUCUUUUCCACUUUAUUUAGGAUUCCGGUAAGAUAUUCCAUGCAUAUAACAAAGAUCGAGGGUGAUAUAGGAUCGUCAUGUCUUAAGCCUCUUUUUCCUGCUAUGUUUCCAUAUUAUCCCCCAUUUAUUGCUAUCAUGUACUGUGUUGUUGUUAUACAAGCCAUGAUCCAUUUGAUGAACCUUUAAGGAAAAUUCACUACAUGCAACAUUUCUUCUACAAAUGCCCACUCCAAACUGUUAUAUGCUUUCUUCAAAUCUAUUUUUAUUAAGCAGCUUGAGUUGUGUUUUUCUUUCUGUAUAGUCUGACGAAAUCCUGACAGAUCAACACAUUUUGCACUAUUGUCCUCCCUUCAAUGAAUGUACUCUAGUUAUCUGAAAUGAUAGUUGGCUAUAGAGGAAACUUUAAUAUCCCAACAUUUACAUACACAUUGGACUCUUGUAUGCAAGCCUCUAAAAGUACCAUAUAACUUAACUUAGUCGGGAUAGGGUCCCACCGUACCCAAAAUGACUGAAACAUAUAAUUCAAUACCUAUCGACUUCUGUACAUCUACUUCAGAGAAGUGGAGUACGAUAACCAACAGCUAAAAUGAGCCCCCUACAUAGGAGGGAUGUCAUCGGGUCUAUCGAUAUAUGUGGGCAUGAACACAACACCCAAAAGAAAAGGGCGUCAAUACAAAAAAUGUACCGAGUAUGUAGAUUAAUAAUGUAUGUAUACCAAAAGCAUAACCUAGGAGGUAUGAAUACACAAUUUCAAUCUUAAUACAGAAAAUAAGCCACUGGGGGUGAACUGCAAUAUCCAUGAAUCAUAAAUGUAUGUAAAUUAUAUAAAAAUCAAGCCACUCAUUAGGCCAAUGCAUAUGGUGCAAUAUAAUAUUAUUCAGCCACUCUUUGGGGCAUAUGAUCUCAUAUUAUACCCAACUUCACAGAGGACUCGAUAAAGUCCCAUGCUUUUAUCAUAUCAUACCCGAUCUCAUGAGGUCUCGAUUGUACUAGGCCUUUAGAAGACUCGGUCUUACCCAGCCUGAUGAGAUCUCGGUUGUGCCCAGUCUUAACAAAACAUAGUGUACCUGGUCUCAAGAACGCUUAGUAAUAUUUCAUAUUAUAUUAUUCUAUAUCCGGCCUUAUAGAGGGCUCAGCAACGUCUCACGUCAUAAUCAACUGAUCAGUAAUUGAUUUUGUACCGAGCCAACUAUACUGCAGCUCGGUGUGUGUGUCUGUGUGUGUCUGUGUGUGUGUGUGUGUAUAUAUAUAUAUAUAAAGAGAGAGAGAGAGAGUAAGAGAGAGAGAGAGUAAGAGAGAGAGAGAGAGAGAGAAAGCAUUGCAAGACCAUAUUUAAGAGAUAUCAAGGUUAGACUCUGAGUGAAUUACGUUUCACGAACUUACGAUACCUUCCUAGAAUAUCUUAGACUUAAAAGAAAAUGCCACCGGUAAAGAAUGAAUGAGAACAUGAACAUCGCUAUCAAAAAGGCUUACAACAUAAUGUGACGACCCAAAGGGUCAUCACCUAUUUUCUUAUCUAUAUUGUGCUUUCGAGGCCUGUAAAACCUCAUUAAGAGUUACCUAGAUUUGCAUGCAUAGUCCAGGCGCAUAGUCGGAAAGCUUAAAUUUGGUAUUUUCUAUGAAAAAUGCUAAGUUUUGAUGUUAAAAUUAAUAAAUUUGACUUCGGUCAAUAUUUUGGUAAACAGAGCCGGAUCCGUGAUUUGACGGUCCCGGAGUGUCCGUAGAAAAAUAUAGGACUUGGGCAUAUUCCCAAAUCGAAUUCCGAGGUCCCAAACCCGAGAAAUGAACUUUUAAGUAAAAUUGCUUUCUGAAAAUAUUUAAGAAAAUUGGAAAUAAAAUCUAAUUAUAAAGUGAUUGUAUCGGGCCCGUAUUUUGGUUCCGACGCCAGGUAAAAGUCUUAUAUAUGAUUUAAGAUGUUUCUAUAAAGUCUGAUCGAAAACGGAUGUCGUUUGAUGUGUUUCGAACUUAAAAUGGAAAAUUUGAUGUUUUAUGAAAUUUGAAAGAAUUUAUGGAUUUUGAAGCUUAAUUCGAUGUAUAUGAUGUUAUUUUGGCGAUUUGAUCGCGCAGAUAAGUCUGUAAGAUGUUGUUGAGGUUGUGUGUAUGUACGAUUUGGAGCCCUGAGGGCUCGAGUGUGUUUUGGAUAUGCCACAGAUGCAAUUUGAACCUUUGAGAAAAUUUGGUGUAUUUGGCUCUGCAAUAUUCGCAUUUGUGAAGCAAGUCUCGCAAAUGCAACCAUUUAGUUCUCCAAUGCGAAAGUGAGCUAGUCGCAAAUGCAACGUUUUUGCUCGCAAAUGCGAGGUUCAGGAUUUCUCAUUUGGGAACCCUGUUUUGCUUUUCCCACAUCUGCAGAGGUCGGGGUUUGCAAAUGCGAACCCUUGUUCACAAUUCUCACAUCUGAGGGCUGCAUAUUUUACACUUAGCCGAAUUUUGAACCAUUUUUAACAUCCUUUUAUAACACAAACUUCUUUGGGCGAUUUUUCCAAGAAAAAAUCUUCUUCAAAAUUAACUAAGUUAUUUUUUACUCAUUUCUUUCAUUUAUUAACAUCAUUUAACAUGUUUCAACCUAAAAUCAAAGAUUUUCAUGGAAUAAAUCGGGGGUUUUGGUUAGAACUUAGGUUUUUUUAAAUUUGGGGAUUUGGACCUCAAUUUGAGGUCUGAUUUCAAAACAAAUCAUAUAUUUGGGUCUGUGGGGAAUGGGUAAUGGGGUUUUGGUUCGAAUCUCGGGUUUUGACCACGUGGGCCGGGGGCAAUUUUUGACUUUGUGGGUAAAACUUUGGGAAUUUAUUUUUAUGCAUUCAAAUUGAUUCAUUUAGCAUUUAUUGAUGUAAUUAAGUAACUUGUGAAUAAAUUUGAGCGGAUUUGUGGUGGAAUCAAGGGAUAAAGUUAUAAUUGAGACUUGAGUUGAGUUCAAAGCAUCAAGGUAAGUAUUCAGUCUAACCUUAGCUUGAGGGAUUAGGAGUUGAGUCAUAUUUUCUACUGGUUUUGUGUUGAGUACGAAGUAUAGGCACGAUAACGAGCAUCUAUAGGUUGGUGCCAAACAUGCCCGUGGGUCUUAAAUUGAUAAUUGUUGUAAUCUUAAUUGAAUCUAUGGAAGCUUUGAUUGAUCAUUUUCGAUAUCGAGUAAGGAUUUAGUUUAUUUAUGUAGGCUUUAGUUAUGACUGAGUAUUGGUAUUAGUUGUGCCAAGUAGAGGUUGGAUAAGAUUGGUUAUAUCAGACUCUCCCUUGCUGGGACGUUUGAUUUGAUAUUAUUGCUUCCCUUGCCGGGAAGUUAUUACUUUUCUUUUGUUCAUUUAUCGGGAAGUUAUUAUAUUGAUUUGUUCCCAUGCCGGUAUUGUAUUAUUAUACUGUGUUGGAUUGAAAUGGGAGAGGGUGGUACGCCUACCACAAGUGAUAUUAAAAUGAGAAUACCACAAGAUAUUGAUGAAAUAGGAGCGGGUGGUACGCCUACCACGUGUUAUGUUAAACUGGGAGCGGGGUGGUAUGCCUACCAAGGGAGAUGAGAAAUGGGAUCAUGUUGCACGCCUGCAACGAGAUGAGUAUUGAAAGUAAAAGUUGCCUUUGGUUAUCCUAAUCUGUGUUAAUAGCCUAAUUGUUGAUUUCCUUAUUAUCUCGUGUGAAAUUCUGCUUAUUUUGUUAUCCCCAAAGCAUGUCUUCCCCUCCCUUGUUUUACUUAUUUAUUUCCGGUUAUGUCUUUGCCAUAUAUUAUAUAUCUGUACAGGUUUAUCUGGAGUCUGGUCCUAGCCUCGUUACUACUUUACCGGGGUUAGGCUGGACACUUACCAUCAAAUGGGGUCGGUUGUGCUGAUGCAAUACUCUGUACGUUUUUGCACAAAUCUAGGUGUCGGAGCAGAUUACGGUGCGCAGUAGUAAUCAGGGAGUCGACCUUCAGUCCACGAGACUCUGAGGUAGCCUUACUGGUGUUCGUAG
rnacentral:lncRNA from 1 species